rnacentral:rRNA from 1 species
UGGGGGAUAUUGCACAAUGGGCGAAAGCCUGAUGCAGCGACGCCGCGUGGGGGAUGAAGGCCUUCGGGUUGUAAACUUCUUUUGCUCUGAACAAGGCAUGCCUUUGGGGUGUGUUGAGUGUAGGGGUUGAUUAGCGCCGGCUAACUACGUGCCAGCAGCCGCGGUAAUACGUAGGGCGCGAGCGUUGUCCGGAAUUAUUGGGCGUAAAGAGCGCGUAGGCGGUAUGGUAAGUCUGUCUUAGAAGUGCGGGGCUUAACCCCGUGAGGGGACAGAGACUGUCAUACUGGAGUCUCGGAGAGGAAAGCGGAAUUCCUAGUGUAGCGGUGAAAUGCGUAGAGAUUAGGAAGAACACCGGUGGCGAAGGCGGCUUUCUGGACGAGCACUGACGCUGAGGCGCGAAAGCGUGGGGAGCGAACAGG